GCUUUGAUAGUUUAAAAAAAACACUGGUCUUGUAAACCAGUAAUGAGGAUGCUCCUCUCAAAUCA
rnacentral:tRNA from 1 species